UACAGAGGGGGCAAGCGUUAUUCGGAAUUAUUGGGCGUAAAGGGCGCGUAGGCGGCCAUUCAAGUGACGGGUGAAAGCCCUCGGCUUAACCGAGGAACUGCCUGUCAGACUGGAUGGCUUGAGACCGGGAGAGGUGAGUGGAAUUCCCAGUGUAGCGGUGAAAUGCGUAGAUAUUGGGAGGAACACCAGUGGCGAAGGCGGCUCACUGGACCGGAACUGACGCUGAGGCACGAAGGCCAGGGGAGCAAACGGGG
rnacentral:rRNA from 1 species